GCGCCAGUAGCUCAGCUGGAUAGAGCAACGGACUUCUAAUCCGUAGGCCGGGGGUUCGAAUCCCUCCUGGCGCGCCA
rnacentral:tRNA from 1 species